CCUACGGGGGGCAGCAGUGGGGAAUAUUGGGCAAUGGGCGCAAGCCUGACCCAGCAACGCCGCGUGAAGGAAGAAGGCUUUCGGGUUGUAAACUUCUUUUCUGAGGGACGAAGCAAGUGACUGUACCCAAGGAAUACGCCACGGCUAACUACGUGCCAGCAGCCGCGGUAAUACGUAGGUGGCAAGCGUUAUCCGGAUUUACUGGGUGUAAAGGGCGUGGAGGCGGGACUGCAAGUCAGGUGAGAAACCCACGGGCUCAACCUGUGGCCUGCAUUUGAUACUGUAGUUCUUGAGUGCUGGAGAGGCAGACGGAAUUCCUGGUGUAGCGGUGAAAUGCGUAGAUAUUAGGAGGAACACCAGUGGCGAAGGCGGUCUGCUGGACAGCAACUGACGCUGAGGCGCGAAAGCGUGGGGAGCAAACGGGAUUAGAUACCCUUGUAGUC
rnacentral:rRNA from 1 species